GCGGCGGACGGGUGAGUAAUGCCUAGGAAUCUGCCUAGUAGUGGGGGAUAACUUGCCGAAAGGUAAGCUAAUACCGCAUACGUCCUACGGGAGAAAGCAGGGGACUCUUCGGAGCCUUGCGCUAUUAGAUGAGCCUAGGUCGGAUUAGUUAGUUGGUGAGGUAAUGGCUCACCAAGACUGCGAUCCGUAACUGGUCUGAGAGGAUGAUCAGUCACACUGGAACUGAGACACGGUCCAGACUCCUACGGGAGGCAGCAGUGGGGAAUAUUGGACAAUGGGGGGAACCCUGAUCCAGCCAUGCCGCGUGUGUGAAGAAGGUCUUAGGAUUGUAAAGCACUUUAAGUUGGGAGGAAGAGCAGUUAACUAAUAUUUGACUGUUUUGACGUUACCGACAGAAUAAGCACCGGCUAACUUCGUGCCAGCAGCCGCGGUAAUACGAAGGGUGCAAGCGUUAAUCGGAAUUACUGGGCGUAAAGCGCGCGUAGGUGGUUCAGUAAGUUAGGAGUGAAAGCCCCGG
rnacentral:rRNA from 1 species